UUCACGAUAAAACAGGUAGAUUCUAAUUUGCCUGCCCAAAAUCCCCUUCAAUUAUCUUACCCUAUAUAAUCUGAAGAAGAGAAAGCUGACAGUCACAGUUGAAUUCAACCUUUGAAACGUUGUACAACACUUAUCUAGAAUCAUGAAGCUGCUUUGGGUUUUGACCAUCGUGCUGUCCCUGCUGCUGGGAACCGCAGUGGCCCAUCAUUGCCGUCCCGGAUUCGACCACUAUCAGGAUACCGAUACUUGUGUUGCUGAUCCCGUUAACGGUAGAUGCCCUCCAGGAUCCACGCUGGACUCCAGCAUCAACAAGUGCGUCCAAAACUGAGUCAAUGACACGACUGAAUCCUGAUUUCCGAUUUUUACAAAUGGUAAAUUAAAUUAAAAUUCAAUGAACAUCUAGAA